AUGGCCGUGGUUUUUGAUAAUAUGGUCUUAGAGGUUGCACAGAAGAAGAAGAAAAACUACUUCCUAAUCAAGCAACUUGGCAACAACAAUGCAAAUAUUAAGUUCAACAAGGAAGCCGAACAACUUUUUACAGUCUGCACCCUCACAAGUACUCUGCAUACGGAGACAUCUUUACCUUUCAUAGAGUCUUUUGGGUUUGAGACAGAUCUCAGAUACCAUACACAGGGGCAAGCAUUUUGUGUAGUGUUUGACCACUGGGCUAUUGUUCCUGGCGAUCCACUGAGAAACCAUGUAUUGAAGCGCCGCAGGAUCGAGCGCCCUGUCGCGGAGCCCGAGGGACCCGGCGCCGACUGGCCCCUCGCGCCCUCCCCGUCCGCCUCCCCGUCCCCCGCAUCCUGGCUCGACGCCGCCCCCUCCUCCCCCGCGCCGAGGCCGCAGCCAGAGCUGCAGCCUUCCCCCGCCUCACUCGCGCAGCGGGACGCCCUCCGCGCCGCCGAGGAGUUCUUCUCUGGGCGUGUCUCCUCGGACGAGGACGGCGGGGACGCGGCAGCGGGGUUCUUCCUCGGCCUGUUCGAGUGGGACGCCGCGCUGCGGGGUACUACGAGCGGAGCCACGAGGAGGAGUCCCGAUGCGUGGGGAGGAAGAGGAAGGGCAGGAGCCAGGCCAGGAGGUUCCGGGACUGCAUCAGCCUCGUGCACCACGCGCGCGACGUCAAUCAUUGCGGGAGGCCGCUGGCGCACCGCGCGCUCGCCGCCGUCGUCUGCCGCGUGCUCGGCUGGGACGUCAAGCGGCUGCCCAGCUUGGUCAUUGACCCCCGCGACACGCUCGGCCAGGCCCUCCUCGCCAGGGAGGGCGCGAGCGCCGCCGCGCAGGAAGCAAAGGACAAUGUUGAUGCUGGGGAGAAAGACCACAAGGAUGCAGCAAAGGAGGAUGUUGGUUUGGAGAAGAACGGCUCCUUGACUCAUGACAAGAAGCAAUGGAUGGCAGGGCGAUAAGCGGACGUCGGACAGCCGUCAUCGACAUGUUGAUAGCAGAAGCCGCCAACGCCAGGAAGAAAUUGCAAGAAGUGCACUUGUUGGUUUUGCCUUGGAAGGAAGGCAAAUGUGAGCAGGAAGAUGAGGUGGGAGGCGUCCUAUGUAGAGUUCCUUCUCGUUGCGAAUUGGAAGCUCGUCGGUCCGGCUAAGAUUGUCGGUUGUGCUUAUAUACAGAAAAGGAUCCAAGGAUUCACAGAAGUUGAUGCGAUCCCAAAUGAAUUUAUAGUUUCAAAGUUUGAGAUUCUAGGAUGGAAAAAGAUAUAGUGAGUGAAGUUAACCACUCAGUCCAAUCUGGUGCUACAUUUAUAUUUGACUAUGGUUUGUUCUACUGGAAUUAGAGACUGAGCAUGAACCUAUCAGAUUUGAUUUCCGUUUCCAAGAGAAGGAGAUGUUAUCUAUGACAUAUUUGUUGGUAUUGGCUGAAUUUCUACCACAGUUAUACAAAAAGUAUCUCUUGUAUAUGCAAAUGAACAAACAUUGUUUAUUAUCUAAGGACAAAUGCAAAAAUUGAAUGUGUGCAAGUGUUGUUUUGGAUUA